rnacentral:rRNA from 1 species
CCUACGUGAGGCAGCAGUGAGGAAUAUUGGUCAAUGGGCGCGAGCCUGAACCAGCCAAGUAGCGUGAAGGAUGACUGCCCUACGGGUUGUAAACUUCUUUUAUAAAGGAAUAAAGUGAGGCACUUGUGCCUUUUUGUAUGUACUUUAUGAAUACGGAUCGACUAACUCCGUGCCAGCAGCCGCGGUAAUACGGAGGAUCCGAGCGUUAUCCGGAUUUAUUGGGUUUAAAGGGAGCGUAGAUGGGUUGUUAAGUCAGUUGUGAAAGUUUGCGGCUCAACCGUAAAAUUGCAAUUGAUACUGGCAGUCUUGAGUACAGUUGAGGUAGGCGGAAUUCGUGGUGUAGCGGUGAAAUGCUUAGAUAUCACGAAGAACUCCGAUUGCGAAGGCAGCUUACUAAACUGCCACUGACAUUGAUGCUCGAAAGUGUGGGUAUCAAACAGGAUUAGAUACCCUAGUAGUC